rnacentral:rRNA from 1 species
UACGAAGGGGGCUAGCGUUGCUCGGAAUCACUGGGCGUAAAGGGUGCGUAGGCGGGUCUUUAAGUCAGGGGUGAAAUCCUGGAGCUCAACUCCAGAACUGCCUUUGAUACUGAGGAUCUUGAGUUCGGGAGAGGUGAGUGGAACUGCGAGUGUAGAGGUGAAAUUCGUAGAUAUUGGGAAGAACACCGGUGGCGAAGGCGGCUCACUGGCUCGUUUCUGACGCUCAGGCGCGAUAGCGUGGGGAUCAAACAGG